rnacentral:tRNA from 1 species
CGGGAUGUAAUUCAGUGGUCAGAAGCCAUGCUUUGGGAGCAUGGAGUCGCAGGUUCGAGUCCUGCCAUCCCGA